rnacentral:lncRNA from 1 species
UUUGUCUUGCAGCGCAAAAUAGUGCUGCUAUUAAGGCAUCCAUGGUCACUAGUCCAGGACUCAAGAAAGAAAGCAACACACUCUCAGCAGUGCAAACUGAGCCAGCCUGUGAUUUGCAGCCAGUGGAAAUGAGGUGAUUUUCAGGGAGAAGCUGUGAAGAAUCUCCGCUUGCCCUCUUCAGACGUAGGAGACGACCUGCAGACUCUUGGUCACCCCUGUGUACUCCAAGCUGCAGCAGUGACCGUGGUUUGCCCAGGGCCACAUCCUUGACAUGUGCAGGUGCAGUCUCUGCAGGAGGCCACAGCUUUGUGCCAAAAGCCCACAGAGUGUGGAGGCUAGGCUGGUGGCAUCACUCCUACCCCUUGUCACACUGCGGCUAGCUUGGGGCAGAGUCGAUAUGUGAAACCAGGCUUCCUCUGGGUUCUGAACAAUUUGUAAAAUAAGAGGAGGGAAAAGGUACAGACCAAGAUGUCCCCUUCCCUGUCGAUACAGGCCAGGGUGGCAGCAGCUUGCUGUGAGAGCCUCAGGACUUAGCUGAGCUGCAGCUUCAGACUUUGGCUGACCUAUUCACCCAUCACAGAGAUGGCCACCAAGGCAGGCACAUGUGGACACUACCAAUGCAGCUGGCAGCAUAGAGCCGCUAGGGAAAUCCUUCGUCCUUUGAAGGCACUCCCAAGAGGAUCCACAGCAGAGCUGAGAUGAACAGCCCUAGGCUUUCUUCUGCAUCUUCUACUAGAGACAUCUCAACCCCUUCUCAAUGCUAAACGUAAGCCAAGGCAAGGAGGAAGGCUUGCAUGCUAAGGGUGAGCUUGUCACCUGAAGUAGCCCAGAGUGGGGAGGAGGUGUCCCAUCUACCCACUCCUGUGUAAAGUAGCCAUAUGAAAACUGGCCCAGGACAACAGGUGAUUUAAUUGUUCACAAUUUAGUAGCUCAGAAAUUGAGGUUGGGUCAGCUGGGUGGUUCUUCUGCUCAACUUGCCUGGAGUAACUCAUGCCAAUGGUUGUCCAGUGGUUCGCCACAGCUGGGUGGACACAUAGAGCCUCACUGUGGUGUCUGAUGGGGAUGCUGGCUGUCAGCUGGGUCACGUGGGUCCUGCUCGAUCAGGCAUCUGCCGAAAGCCAGCUCAGACAUGUUCACUCGGCUAUUUCAUGGCAGCAAGAGAGGAAGCCUAGAAGUUCAGAGCCUCCUAAAGCUUACAGUCCAAAGUCUCAAACCAUCAAAGCAAGUCCUAAGGCCAGCCCAGACCUGUGAAGGUGAAGAGACAGACUCUGCCUGUUGACGGGAGGAGCAGCAACAUCACAUGUGGUCAGGCACACACACGGGACGGGAGGGCUGUGGCCCCAUCCUGUGCCUGGACCACAGAGCACUUGUGGCCAGCUCAAGGCAAAUGUAAGUGUGUUUGUUCCAUGGCACAGGAAAGACAGGAGAAGGAAACUGGAGACAAAGAAACACCCUGGAAGUACUCCUAGAUGGCCAUGUCCAGUGUGUGGACAGUUAACAGACCCCACAAGGGCUUUGUACAAGGAGCAACACCCAACUCUCAGAGCCCCUGGAAAUAUAAAUUUGUGUCACCUCGAUGGAUCAAGAAACCUGACAAUCUAAAUAGCUACUUGAGAACAAAGAGAACACUGACUCUUACUGGGAAAGAAAUAUUAUAAAGACUCUCAUGAUCUGAGGAUGAGUCAUAAAAAUUGAGAUUUCAAUUCAUUUACUUUCAUGCAUCAUUGUGUGUGUGUGCAUGUGUGUGCACGUGUGCUUAAACUAGUUUGCCAUACUUAUUUCUGCGUCUUUCCUGCCAUUUUAUAUAGCAUAUGUGGGAGAUAAUUACAUUUAUAAUCUAGUCUGUGAGUUUCAUAAUAUUAAAAAAAAGAUUCUGACAGUACUCAAGGAUAGAUAGCUAGUCCCUAGAGACCUGAUACUGUGCACAUCAACUUACAACACAUUGAGUUGUCUCUCCUUGUAGACAGGAAAAAGGAGUGUUCAGUGGAUAAGAGAGGACAGUAUUAGUUCUGGUGUAAGCAGCUGUUUUGAACUUUAACUUUGGAAAAAAGAAUGGCUGAAUGUUAAGCAGAAGUGGAAUCUGUGUAGCACUGACCAUCAAGCACACGAGUGUGCACAUUCCUUCCUGUCGAGGAGACCUCUUAAGGUAGAUGAGGAGUAUGGUCCACCUACUAGGGCGCCAUAGCGAGGGCCUUUCUUCUCCCUAUACCUUGGCGUAACAACAUGGGCUCAUAGCCUGAAUAAGCUGCUAAGACGUGUGUUCUGUUACCUCGAGUGUGAGGGGUUAUAAAGGCAUAGGGCUGACUUGCUAUGCCUUCUGAGGAGUUGAAAUCCAUGGUGAUGAGCGCCCAGAAGAGCAUGAAAACAGCUCAGCCAUGAGCGGUAGCAAGACCCCAGCUGGCCUUGACAAUACUUUCGUUUUAUGCCUAAAGUAUUUAGAGUUGGUUUUGGUUAUUUACAACAAAACAUAGGGCACAAAGACAAAGACACAGCAAUCAAUUCUGAGCUUCACACGUGAGAUAGGGAUCAAGGAAGCGUAAAAACAAAGAACAUGGCAAAUGCGUGCAACCGGUGGAAAUUACUUGUUUUGUUGCUCUUACUCAGUUCUGAAAUCAGCAGUAGGAUCCAAAACUUUUUGUAUUAAGUAUUCACAUCCUGAUAGCCACUUGUGCUUUAUUUGCCUUUAUUGCUCCAGAGACAUACAAGGGUAAAACAACAGAAGAAGAUAUGUAAAUUAACCUUUGGUUAAAAAUUUAUCAUUAAGAAGAGAAAAAUUACAUUUUCUAUGAAGAUAUAUAUUGUCAAC